ensembl:lncRNA
CUCAGGACCUUGCGCUUGUACAGCAGGCACUGGAACCACUGAGCUAAAUCCCUGGCCCCCCAUCCCAGUCUUGACAUCAACCAUUUUUCCAGUAAUCUCCCAGUUCCGUUUAUUCUUGAAUAAACCAGUUAGUGACUCGGUACUUAGAAAUCAAGGUCUGGACACUGGGUACAUUCAUUGCUACUUGGCUGUCAUUGCUUCUAGGCUCUCACCAAAGCGCUCUAGGGAAUAUAUACAUGUGUUAACACAUGCAUACACACAUCUGAUUUUAUCUGUCCAUCUGUAUAUUAUUAAAAACCAUGAGUUCAAAUUGAUACCUACAAUCCAAUACCAUAGGGUUGUGGCUGCCAUUCUUGCAACUUUACUAUUUUUCUGCUUCUUCCUAUCCUGCUCUGUUCAUUCUCCUGUGUGUGGUGGUCAGACUUUCUUAGAAGCUGUAAGACAUUCAGUGAGCAUCCUUUGUGCAACAUUCCUUUUGGUUAGUUAACUUGGGUCAACAGCAAGUGAGUAACUCAGAACUAGGUAACUUUCAUACCAAAAAAAAACCCAAUAGCCACCUUCCUGAGAGUAGGAUAGGGAACAGGAUAGAGCCUCAGGUUCUGAGGAACUUAACUAUCACUUCUGGAGAUUCUUUGCUAGACCUCAUAGGUCAUGUUGGACCCAUAUCUCUACUUCCAUUACAUCCUGGAUAUUGCUUAACUCACUUAUGCCACAUGUUUUUUGUCUGCAUCACUAGAAUGUAAGCUCCAAGGCGGCCAAUGCCAAACUGUUCAGCUCCCUGUUCACAGAGCCUGGCCCAGUGCUGACACAUGACAGAUGCUCCAGGAAUGUUUAGAAGGGUGAGGUGGCCCUGGGACAGAGCACUUGUUUGCCUAGUAUACUUUGUCACGUGCUUAUGACCCAGCAUUGAGACCACCAGGCUUGCAGCUGUAACAGAUUGCAGGAAACAGAGCAGCAUGAGACCCAGAUACCUAUUAAGGCUCCUAGAAUACAGGAGGCUGGACUUGAAAAUUGUUCAAAGAGAAAAACUCACAACUAUAUAGUGAUUGUAUUAGAAACUUAAGGGGGAAAAGCACAUGUAAGCCUUAAGAAAAUAGAAAAUGAACCAGUAAAUAUAAAAACUAAAGUUAGGGAGAAAACAAAAAGGAUAAACAAAAUCAAUUAUUUGAAAAUAUAAAUAUGAUAGAUAAGCCAGGUGUGGUGGCACACACCUGUAAUCCCAGCACUCAGAAGGCUGAGGCAAGGGCUGGGGAUUUAGCUCAGUGGUUCCGUCGCUUGCCUUGCAAGCUCAAGGACCCGAGUUCAAUCCCCGGUACCAAAAAAAAAAAAUUAUAAAGUGUAAACAGAAGGCUGAGGCAGGAGGAACACCAUGAGUUCAAGUCCAUCCUAGGCUACAUAGUGAGUUCAAGACCUGCCUGAACUACAUGGUGAGACCCUAUGUCAAAAAAAUUAUAUAUAUAUAUAUAUAUAUGAAUAUGAAUGAGAUAAAACUUCCUGAGUCUGAUAAAGGGGAAAGGAAAUAAAAAUACAAGAUUGGGAAUGAAAAAUUAGAUAUAGCCACACAAAGAGGAGAGGUGAAUUUUUUCAGAACUUAAUAUUAAAUUUAAAAACAACAAAUGGAUAAUUUCCUAGUAAACAGUGACUCAAGACAUAGCUUGAAUAGACAAAAGAAGGAAUUGGAAAGAUGAUUAAAAUUUUUAAAAAUGUUCUGGGCUGGGGGUGUAGCUCAGAUACAGCACUUUCCUAGCAUGUUCCAGGCCCUGAGGUUAAUGCCCAGACCACAAAAAAAAAAAAUGUUCUUUUGAUUAAACUUUGAAAUACAUAUAUAGAAAAUGCACAGAUUUUAAGAGUUUAAUGUACUAUUACAAAAUGAACACAUUCCUCUAGCCAUCACACUGUCCACUGUCCCAAAAAUAGAUGAGUUCCAGCUUUUAGCUAUGUAUAAACUGCUCAGACCAAGGAGAAAGAUGGAAAGAUGCCCAUCUGAUUUUAAAAGCCCAUGUACUCAACUUGAUAAAGUCCCAAAAGGAAUAACCUAAACAUGUCUGACUACAGAUGCAUAAAUCCCAAGUAAAAUGAAGCUGGAGCUGGCAUGGUGGUGCAUACCUGUAAUCCCAGCUACUCUGGAGGCUAAGCAGGGGGAUGGCAAGUUCAAGGCCAGCCUGGACAACUUAGCCAACCCUGUCUCAGAAUAAAAAGAGGUGGGGAUGUAGGUCAGUGUUAAGAGUGCUUACCUAGCAUACUGAAGAGCCUCUGGGUUCAAAUCCUCAGUAUUAAAAAAAAGUCAAACUAUACUAUGAUCGCGUAAGGUUUAUAUUAACAGAAGGCUCAUUGUCAGAAAUUUAUUAAUAUAAUCCACCAUAACAAGAAUAAAUACUUGGGCCAGGGAUUUAUUUAGCUCAGUGGUUCUGGCACCUGCCUCACAAGCAGAAGGACCCGAGUUCGAUCCCCAGUAUAAAAAAAAAAAAAAGAAUAAAUACUUAAAGGCCUGGAAUACUAAUUGUGUUGGUGUCAAUUUUGUUAUGCUGAUAAUUAAACUAUGGUUAUUGAAGAGAAUGUCCUGACUUUUAGAAAAUAUAAAUAUUAAGAGGUCAAUGGCAGAUAUUUUAGGAAAUAUACAUAUACACACAUAUACAUAUAUACACAGAAUGAUACAGCAAAAAUAAACAUUUGGGAAAUCUGAAGAAGUAUCAAAAUUCUUUGUAUUUGCAACUUUCUGAAAAUCUAAAAUUUUUAAAAUAAAGGUUUUUAAAUAAGAUAUAUCAGUGUACACUGAAAAAGUAUUGGAUAACAAUUGAAAGAAAAGUAAUUUGAAUAUGUUCAUGAAAACAACAUUUAGUCGUAAAUACUAAAGCUAUCUCUAAAGUUUGAAACAGGAAAUUCAACAUUGCUUUGAAGAUUAGGUGAAAGUAAUUAAGGAAGAAUACUAAAUCAGUAUGGAUAUUGGAAAAUAAUCUUUUUUGCUGAUAUAAUUGUGUAUUUAGAAGAUCCAAAUGAUAAUGGUAAAAACCUAUUAGCAUUAAUAAAGACAUUUGCUAAGUGGCUAAAUAAAAGAUAAGUG